rnacentral:pre_miRNA from 1 species
CACGUGGGGGAUUGGACAGGAAUCGGGCGUGAGAAGGGCUAAUGCACCCGCUUAAAGGAGUACUGACACGAAAUUUCAAAGCUGAGAUCCGCUCUAGCAAUCAAGUACAACGGAUCUUAGCUUUGAAAUUUCGUGUCAGUACUCCUUUAAGCGGGUGCAUUAGCCCUUCUCACGCCCGAUUCCUGUCCAAUCCCCCACGUGGGUA